rnacentral:tRNA from 1 species
AAUUAUAUUUAUAUAGUAUAAAAAGUACCCCUAACUUCCAAUUAGAAAGUCUAACACUUAGUAUAAAUA